rnacentral:rRNA from 1 species
AUUGAACGCUGGCGGCAGGCCUAACACAUGCAAGUCGAGCGGAGCGGCGGACGGGUGAGUAAUGCCUAGGAAUCUGCCUGGUAGUGGGGGAUAAAGUCAGGAAACGGGCGCUAAUACCGCAUACUAUCAGAUGAGCCUAGUUAGGAUUAGCUAGUUGGUGGGGUAAAGGCCUACCAAGGCGACGAUCAGUAACUGGUGUGAGAGGAUGAUCAGUCACACUGGAACUGCGACACGGUCCGGAUUCCUACGGUAUGCAGCAGUGGGGAAUAUUGGACAAUGGGCGAAAGUCUGAUCCAGCCAUGCCGCGUGUGUGAAGAAGGUCUUCGGAUUGUAAAGCACUUUAAGUUGGGAGGCGUUACCAACAGAAUAAGCACCGGCUAACUUCGUGCCAGAGCCGCGGUAAUAC